AACCCACAGAAAGGAGGUGAUCCAGUGUCUAGAAAGGUAUUGGAGAAUGGCGUCGGGACAACUGCGGAGGUGCGUGCGUAGGGCAGCCCUUGCGCUCUCACAGACGUAGGUGAGGUCACUCUAACCGACCCCGCCUCCUGGACUUUCGGAAGGCCGCUUCUCGCCGAGGAGCGGCCU
rnacentral:misc_RNA from 1 species